GCUCAGGACGAACGCUGGCGGCGUGCUUAACACAUGCAAGUCGAACGAUGAAGCCCUUCGGGGUGGAUUAGUGGCGAACGGGUGAGUAACACGUGGGCAAUCUGCCCUUCACUCUGGGACAAGCCCUGGAAACGGGGUCUAAUACCGGAUAACACCGGCUUCCGCAUGGGAGCUGGUUGAAAGCUCCGGCGGUGAAGGAUGAGCCCGCGGCCUAUCAGCUUGUUGGUGGGGUAAUGGCCUACCAAGGCGACGACGGGUAGCCGGCCUGAGAGGGCGACCGGCCACACUGGGACUGAGACACGGCCCAGACUCCUACGGGAGGCAGCAGUGGGGAAUAUUGCACAAUGGGCGAAAGCCUGAUGCAGCGACGCCGCGUGAGGGAUGACGGCCUUCGGGUUGUAAACCUCUUCAGCAGGGAAGAAGCGAAANNNUANGUGACGGUACCUGCAGAAGAAGCGCCGGCUAACUACGUGCCAGC
rnacentral:rRNA from 1 species